CUGGGCUAGAUGGAAAGUGGGGAGCGGGAAGAUGGGUAGGAAAUAAGGCAGGGAGGAAAGCCUAAAGGUGGAGGAGGAAGAAGGAAGAUAGGUAAGCGCUGUGGUGGGAUAGAGCAAGCAUAGGUAGGAAGCAAGCUUUGAGGCGAGGAAACCAGUGUAGCAAAGAAGCACCCAGGAACAAUCAAGUCCACGCAUCCAUUGUUUGACACAUUCAUGUCUUCACUGUACUACAAACUUGAUUAUGAUGUGCGUGAGUUUGAAUAAUGAAUUACACGUGACGUCA